UGUGCGGAGCUCAGCAAGGUGGUGAGUCUCGGCGGGAGCUGUUAGGGAGAAAGCAAAUAAGCAGCGUCGGAUUACUACAGAAUUGGUGGAAAGAAGAAGGUGCUUUAGUAAUUGACUACAGAAUUCAUCUGCAACUGACAAAUUGAUGUACAGUAUUUCAAAGUUUUAUAUUUCAAUAAAAAUACUUUAAACACUGAA